rnacentral:tRNA from 1 species
GGGGAGAUGGCUCAGUGGUUAAGAGCACUGCCGCUCUUCCAGAGAUCCUGAGUUCAAUUCCCAGCAACUACA